UGGCUUAAUGCAUCCGCUGGGUCGCUGUCCUCUUCAUUGUAAACCGUCCCGUCCACGAGGAGUGUGCUAGUUUUCCCUGUCGCAUGAGAAGCACCGCGUGAAAUAAAGCGGGGAAAGGGGGAGCGAGCAAAGCAAACUGGUGCGUGCACGAGAGAGAGAACAGUAUCAGGGAAAAGGGGAAAACUUGAAAGAAAGAAAUAUGGCCGUGUCGGCAACUCCGCCGGUGCUUUCCCCGAGCUCGACACCGGGCGCGGGCGCUUUAUUCCGGCCCGACCCGCUUUACUCCAGCCCAGCCGAGUCUCCGCGGCUCACCGGCAACAUGAUCAAUGCCUUCCUCAGCAGCGGAGGAGGCGGCCAUGCGAGCAACAACGGCCCCAUCGGAACCACCAGUAAUAACAGCAAUAACGAGUGCAAAAUGGUCGACGUGCACGGGGUCAAAGUGGCCUCGUUCACCGUAGACGGACAGGAGCUGAUCUGCCUACCACAGGUGUUCGACCUGUUCCUGAAGCACCUUGUCGGCGGCCUGCAUACCGUCUACACGAAACUCAAGCGACUGGACAUCUCGCCUGUUGUGUGCACAGUGGAACAGGUGCGCGUGCUGCGCGGCCUCGGCGCAAUCCAGCCUGGAGUGAACCGCUGCAAGCUCAUCAGCCGUAAAGACUUCGAGGCACUCUACAACGACUGCACGAACGCCAGCUCUCGCCCUGGCCGUCCUCCCAAGCGCUCUCUGGGGAUGUCCAUCCAGGAUGGUUCCAGGCUUCUCCCCCACAGUGUCCACGGCCUUCUGUCCCCAAGCCUGCUCUCCCCUACAGGUCUGACAGCAGCAGCUAUGGCAGAGGCAAUGAAGCUGCAGAAGAUGAAGCUGAUGGCCAUGAACAGCAUCCACGGAGCAAGCAGUCAGAAUGGCACGGAGUCUGAAAAUGAAGAGCUCAACUCCAACACAGGGGGCAGUGAGUCAUCCUGGGAUAAGGAAAAGCUGCAGUCACCCCCCUCAUCUGGAGCACAGCAUGGUUUGGCCCAUGCCAGCCUCUCUGGUUCACACCUCACCUCACUACAGCAGAGCCACCUCCUGGCCAACCGUCUGGAUCUUCCUUUUAUGAUGAUGCCCCACCCCCUGUUGCCUGUCAGUCUGCCCCCUGCCUCUGUUGCCAUGGCAAUGAACCAGAUGAACCACCUUAACACCAUCGCCAAUAUGGCUGCCGCUGCACAGAUGCACAGCCCCCUGUCCAGAGCUGGAGCAUCCGUCAUCAAGGAGUGUGUGCAGGACAGUCCAUCUCCAGCUCCUUCUCUGGAGGAAGGCCCUCGUCCAGGCUCACAGCCCUCUUCCCACGUCAGCAGCAGUGUGUCCAGCUCUCCACAUCCACACCCACGGAGCCCUGAGCACCUGGUGCUGAAUCCAACUGAUGGCGAAAUUGCAGACAGAGACACUGGCAUUAACAUGAAGAAAAUCAUCAAAGAGAAAGUGACUUGGUGGUGCAUGGUGAUAAAUUGCCAAGCCCGAGGCCAGGAGCACCUUGUUUCAGCAGGACUCUGGCAAGUGAACCCCUUUCCACCUCUCCAUAAAUCACUUAUUCCCUCUCUCUCUCUCUUUCUCUCUCACACACGCACACACACACAGACUCUCUCUCUGCUCACUACAGGUCAAACACUAAUGGUGGCUACACUCGCUGCAAGCAAGGUUUCUCCCCUUUACCUACUCUCUCUUCUGUUACAGACAGAGGGUGCUCUGAUCUAAUUCUGGAUGGACUUAUUCUGCCUUAUAUGUAACCAGUUAGAAGUCAUUGGGGGGUGUUUUGCUGAUACACCAGUGUGCCUGUGUAUUAUGAUAAACUCUGGAAAGGACACAGGGUACAAUUAAAGUUAUAUAGCUAUAGCUAUAAACAUUACUUAAAAUGUGAACUAGGAUUUUUAAAAUAAGGAUGCCUGCUGGUGUCCUCAAUGCAAUUUUUUAAUCAUUAUUAAAACAGUAUUCAUUUGUAAAAAGCACUGGAUUCCUGUGAAUUUAUUAUUACUUAUUAGAAAAAAAAUUACUUUAUCAUUUAUUUUAUUAGAAAAAAACAAGCUCUGAAUUAUUUCUUCGUAAUCAAUGCUAGUUUCCACAGCUCCAGAGUCAAGCCAGUCCAAAUCCAAACAAACAGCCAUCAGAAUCUUUAGCCAAUAACUCUAAUGCUGAAGAUAAGUAUUACACACCGGUUAAAGGCUUAUUUCAGACUGCAAAAGAGAGAAAAACAGAAUUAAUAUAGCAUUCUGUGAAAACAAAGAGCAAAUCAAUAGAAUAUUUAAAAACAUUUACUUUAAGCUAAAGUAUAGCAGUAAAAAAGCUCCAGAAAUGGCUCUGGUGCCUAAACUGAUGAGAAUCAGAAAAACUGUGAAAACAGCACUCAUACAGCAUUCGUACACUGCAUAGGGCUACAAGUGAUCUUUUUAUCAAAUAUAUUUUUUAAAUAAUCUUGCAGCAUUCCGAUUAAAUUGCUGCUACAGUAUUAUAUGUAAUUCUAAAUUUGGUCAGUUUUCUGCUUUAAAACACCUACUAAUAAACCUGGUGGUGAUUUGAAUCAGGUGUCUUUGAGCCAGAAAAAAAAUUAAACUGUGUUGGCCUCUGGACCUCCAGGAGUGAAAUUGUGUGUCGUUGAUUCAAUAUUGUUCUAUUUGAAAAGGUAACGUUAUGAUAUUGGGUUGUAUGAUUGUUAUACUGUAAAUGUUUUACACUAUAGUGUAUACCUCACAUCCUAGACUGUCUCUACUAGACUUUUGUCUUUCAGGCAUCCUGCAUUAGAGUGAACUAAUAUACCUGUUAUUAAGCACUAAACUGCUGCAGGCAGUAAAUCGGAAACGAAUGCUGGCAGCUUUUUAAACAUUAGUCAUUAUUUAAAAAAAGAGGUCCAUGUGAAUGUUUGCUUUCAUCUACAUGGAACUUUUCUUGCAAGUUGCUUUCAUGUGAAACAUGCAAGUAAUAAACCUUGGAGGAGAUCUGAGACACACUUUUUAACGUCUCCUUUCAUCGUACAAUGACAGUGAGCCACUCAGGCAUGGAGUAGUUAAAGGACAUCUGUAGUGGAUAAAUUAUUAAAGAAUUCCCAUAUUGUGUAGGUUUAUGUAAACAGUAGCACUAAAAACAAGAUCCACGCUCAUGUACUUUCAGAAGACAGUAGAAUAGAGAUUAAAUAUAACUUAGCCUUUUGUGACCAUAUGAAGGCCUCAGUAAACUGCAAUACAUUCUGCUGUAUUAUUAGUGUUUUACCUUACCAUUGGAAGAAAUGUGGGCAUCAUAUUUUCCAGUGGGGAAAAAAGUCAAGUGCUUCUGGUCCAGUUUGUUUGCUAAUGUAUAUGACUUAAUUUGAUGUGGUGUGCAGUGGUCACAGGAGUACUUAGGGAGGAGAGAGAGAGAGACUAUAAUGUGUUAUUCUGCGCACUCCAUAUUUGCCUGUCCAGUUUUCCACAGAGCAAGAUAAUAAUGUGGCAUCUGGUUACAAUCAAUGUUUCCCUCCUACCAUUAUGAAAUUAGCCACACGGAAAUUAUUUGAAAUGGCCUGUAAUGAUUUCUGAUAGAAAUUUGCGCCAUUGUUUCGCCCUUUGAGAUAAGCGAACCGGUAAAUCAGCAUCAGUCAAAACAAGUGCACAUUUAAGAAUAAACCCCCAACCCCACUCGGGCCCCCCCUUGGGGGCCAGAAAAACCCAAAUGCUUUACCUCAUUCUUUGAUUCUGGAUCUAGACCUUUAGGCUCUGAUUCAGAACUGAUAGGCGUUUGACUUUUUUUUUUUUUGGCAGGAAAUGUUACAUUUGCUGUGAAAAAGCCCUGCAUUCCUUGUUUUUUUUUAGCUGCAUAUUUUCCCUCGUUAUAUUGUUUGUUUAUUUGACAGCACUUCCCUCAGAUUGUGUGCAAAAAGAAGUGUUUGAAGACCCUUUGUGAUCAUUAGCUUGAUUGCUGUUCUAAGCGUGUUUGGGGUGGUUUAAUUAAACCGUAGCUGGGUGUGCCAGACCCUGGGGAGAAAGCUUUGGCUUCAAGGUUUUGAAGGGUUUCUCCUCUUAGAAAAAGGUGUCAGAUGAGGAAAAUCAAUGCUGUGAUAGGGAAAGUUACUGUUACAGUUGGCAAUUUGGGGCAAGGUUAGUGCAGCUGAAAGUCACCCUACAUAGACAUUUUUGGAUGAGAAAGCUGGUGAUAAAUGAGUGCUUGUUCUGCCUGACUUCCCCCCUUUCUUUCUGUGUGUGUGUAUGUAAUAAAGACAGGUGCUUGUUCUGCUCUGCUUCUGGGGAAAUAGUCCAAAGAGUACCACUUUUCUCAUCAAUAGAACACGAGACAGUAAACCAAACUGUAGUCAGUUACAAAUUAUUAUUACACAAGUAUUUACUUGUGUCUCUGUCUGUUUUUCCUGCAACUGCUUCAUGCUUGGUCUUAGUCUUGUCUUUGUCAGUUUGGAUUUGAUUUUGACUUUUUACAUAAAUAAAUAAUUGAAUUAAAACACUACAUUAGUUCCAAAAGUAGAUGCCUUGUUCAGACUUGGUAACAUCUGUCUCUGGUGGUACACUCAUAAGUGGAUAGAAGAGAUAGAUAGGAAUUCACAUUUGGUAUUUUCAUGUAUGUUGAAUGUGUCUCCAUUUACUACUUGUCAUCGCAUGUCUUCGAGAGCAGGGUUGCCAAAUCUGCCUAAAAGCAAAUGGAUGUCACUUCAAAACCAGGCCCAAAAUACUAGCCAAUAGUAAAUUUGAGUAAACUCAAAUGAAGGGAUUAUAUUUAGCUGUCAGGUGUCAUUGUAUUAAUUAAAUUGUCAGAUGCUCAGAUCAAAAGCUUUACUCAUAUAGAUAUCUGGCUGUGGCAUUUUGUUAAAAAUUUUGCUCCGCUAAUUACGUUUCAUGUGCUUUUAACAGUCACACACAAAAAGAGGGACAUAAAAAUAAAUAAAAAAUGAGGUACAUACAUACAUUUAGUCAUAUGGUGAGAGUGUGGGCACAUGCUGUCAGAGUUUGAGGAUUUAAAAAUCAGUCCCUCACAAACACAGUUCUAAUGAAUGUGAUCACAGUUCAGAUCACACGAUUUAAAUAUUAAAGAACUUAAAUAUACUGUCAAAUAUUAAAUAUAUAAUAAUAAAGUACAUAUGUUGUAGAUAGACUAUAGCUAUGUUUCCAGCAGAUGGGUUCAGGCUCAUACCUGCAAAUUUAUUUGUUAUGUGCUUGUUGACUAUCUGUGUACUAGACUGCUUUAAUAUUUUGUGAAAUGGUAUAAUGUUUCCUUUAACAGUUGUCGUCUGGCAGCUCAAUGCACGCUCCCAAACUCAAAAUCUGCCCCUUCUAGCCCAUCAAGACUGUCUUUGCAAAAUGAAUUGUAAUAGUCAAAAGAAACAUCGAACAGUAUUUCUUAAUGAAGUAUUUAAGCAUUUCCUUGAAUUGUUAUUUCACCAAAGUAUUUAAUUGGUCUUAAAUUACUUAAUUGUAAUAAAUAUGUAUAUAUAUUACAUACAUAUAAUCUCAUAAGUAAAGAAAAUUUGUGAGAAUGAGUAGAUACAUUCACUGACACAUUCAUACAGGUUUUGAACAAGAAGCAUGCAUAUGAUUGGAGACUGUGUGUGGACGGAAUACAUAACAUAAUGUUUGUAAAAUGCCACAGACAAAAAAAAUCAGCUUAUGUUGAUCACAUGUAUCCACAGUGUGGCUGAACACUUGAACACUUAAUAACUGAUUACCAUCACCUGAGAUGGAUGUUAAUGAACACAGCCUUAGUCUAAACAGCUUGGCCUGUUUUCACUAAGCAAGCAACAUUCUAAUACUAAUAACAUGAAGCCUGCCAUGUUUUCCACUAUCUUGCUGAAUCCUUCUGUCCCAUGGGUUACCUGAAUCAUCCUGUUCCAGUCCUGCUGUGCACAGAUAGAAACAGUAUUUUUAUAGUGCCCACUACCUGGAUUUCUCCUGGCCAUGGCUCAUCAAUAUUCUCACCAGAUUUUGUGAUGAUAAUUUCCAACCUGCUUAAAAAUCUCCAGAACAACCCAAAGAGUCACGUGUCUCUUAACUUCUCACAUCCUUGCCUCAGAACAUUCACAAAUCUUACUCACUUUUGGAGAGCUGCUAUCUUUGGUCUACAACAGAAAUGUUUGGGCCAAAUUUGUGUAGUACGCACUGGGCCUAGUGGCCCAUCUACAUAUGUCUGUACUCUUUCCUGCUUGUCCAAAGAUCAAUUUGGUGGCACUUUUAUGGCACAUCCUGCAUACUGUGGACGCAGCAUGCUCUUCAUUUACAUUCCAGUGAUCUUGUCUCCCAGGCCUCUGUGCAAUUUAGUCUGUGGCCGGGCCUUGUGCACAGCAGUUAAAAUAUAAUAAAUGUUAACCUCCCCCUUGUUCACAUCCCUUUCCCAGCCACAUUAUGUUGCACUUUUUAUUGCCAUGCUUUCAUUUCAUUUUUUCUAGGGGCCAGGGGUAAGCAGGGAUUUAAAUAAUGAACAAUGGGCUAUUCCAGUAUAAUUUAACUCAUUUAGUGCUUACCAACCUUUGUGUAUUUCCUUUUCUCAAGAGGGAAAUGCACAGUCUUUAAUGGAGUUGGUACUCCUGGGACUCACAGUCCUCAAUUUUUGGGAUUUGAGCCCUAGUGAUUAUUUGAACAGGGAGAUUAAGAGGUGAACAGAUAUGAGUUGUAGUUCUGCAAGACACCUUAAUUGUACUUGAGUUUGUUUGCUUGACUCUUCAUGUGUUUAGGCAAAGCCUGAGUGCUGUUUUUGAACCUAAUGGGUUAAUCCGAGCUUAGUGAAUGUGAUGCCCCGGUAGGCUUCUUACCAAAAAAGAGCAGUUGGUGUGUGUGUGUGUGUGUGUAUAUUCCUGCAGCUUGCCAGUCCUUGGUGAUUGGAGUGUCUCUCCUAACUAUAAAUACCACACAGACAUUUGGAUUCCCUUCCUUUAGGAGUCCCCUGGUACAUGUUGUCAACUGUGGCCAUCUUGUUGGGAAUAAAUAUGGUAAAUAUGGAGUUGGCAGAGUAAAGGAUAUUUUCUCUCUCUCUCUGUCUCUCACUCUCUCUUUCUCUCUCUCUGUCUCUGUCUCUCCCUGUGCGUCUGAAUGUCUCUCUCUUCUCUCUGUCUAUCAGUCCGUCUGUCUGUCUCUCUCACUCUCACUCACUCGUGCUAAGAGAAUCCUGUCAAGAGAAUUAGGGCUCCAUCAGAGAAUGUUUGCCAGCUACUAUGCUACCAUGCCAUUUACUCUCCUUUGACCACAUUCACAUUACUUGAGGUUAUAUAUUUGGUUUUAAAUGCUAAACAAAAGACAUUCAUAGGAGCACAGUUCCCUGUGUCUCUGGUCAGAUCAGGUACAGUUUGGUGCUGUUAGUCAAUACUUUGAGUCAGGGUUAUUUAUUAAACUGAAACUCAUAUUGCAAAACACAUUUUAAAAAAAGACAGAGGAGCAUAUUACUGAAGCUGAGACUAAUGAUUCUUCACUUUUCAUGGGUGGACAGAAUAAAUACUUACGUGCCUCUUAGUUUUCUUAGUUCUAGUUUGACAUGGCAAUUAAUGCAUGACAGUUUAUGGGCCUCACAUCAAGAACUCAAAUAAUUAGCCAUUGCCCAUCUUUUAACAUUUAUUUUGGCAAUUAGGAUGAUUACUAGAGUGCCUUGAUCUGGAUAUGUAAAUCGCUAUGUAAACAAACCCGUGUGUGUGGUUGCACACCUGACAAAAACACUGCAGCAAAAGCCUGGGCUUAAUUAUUCCCUAAUUGGAGCCCUUUGAAUAUUCAGGAGAUGUCCUUUAAACACAUGUACAAAAUAAAAAAACAACAAAUAGCCCAUGUAAGGGCAGCAAAACCAUGGAGUAUCCGUUCAGAGUAACUAUAGCUCUCAUAGUUACUGGUGCUCCUCAGCAUCUGUUCCUCCAUAUGGAACCCAGGGACGAUCCACCUUCUCUGAAAAGGCUGACAUCCAGUGCUUUCCUUAAGGACACUUCAGAGGAGUCUUCAGAGAGAUACAGAUAAAGAAAAGGGGUGGAGUAAGCAAACGUACUGUAUCCUCUGUCAUCCUGAAAUCUUCAACUACAGUCCCUUUUGAACCUUUGCACUUCUCUUACUCUCCAGUCCCAACUUGACUUUGGCAUGAAUGCAAGCGUAGAUUUUUAAAAUCUAAAAAAUGUCUCACAGUCAGAAAACGUAUGUUUAAGACUGCAUUAAAUGUUACGGCCAUACAGAAUUGUUUGGUAAAUCAGCCAUGACCAAUGUAGCAUUUGGUGAUAAAGGACAAUAACUAACAUUUGGGCUUUUAUGAUUUACAUUUAAAAAAACAUCAAACCUUCCCUGUUUUUACUAAGAGGUUUGCAAUGAGCGUUGAUGACCACAACAUUCCUUUUGUUGAGACUAGAAGGAAAGCCUUUUGUCUUUAUUUUUAGGAGUAGGGCAAAUGAAAGGGCUGGACCAAUGAAUAAUUAAUACAGUACAUAUGGUGGGCUAAAAAAAAAAGUAAAAAGCACUUCCCCUUGUUUUGUUGUUUGAUUUAUUUAUUUGUUUGCAUACUUUGUACUCUUGGCUUGGGUGUUUUGUCUGUGUGUGUUUUAGAGGAAUCAGAGGAAACAUUAUAGCAAGAUAGCAUUUCAGUAAAAACACCUGCUUUUAAUCUAGGUGACAUAUCUAAGAGGUGUUGUGUUCUAGGCCAAACUUAGAACUGAUGCUGCACUUUUUGAGUCACCAGUGAACCCAGAGAAACAUUAUUUAUAUAUCUCUAGCUUUAUGCAGACUUAAAGUCAUUUCAUAAUGAGGAUCUUUGUCUGCACAUAAGGACACACAUAAAGAGUAAAACAGAGUUCUUUCUCUUACUCUCUCUCUCUCUCGGUCUCUCUCUCUCUCUCACACAGACACACACACACACACUAUCGUUAUGUGUGCAUGCAUGUUAUGGUUAUGGCGAUGACAGAGAGAACAGGGGUACUUUGUAAAUGUCACAGGCUGAGGACUCUUCCUGCACUUUGUGGGAUGGAAUAGAAUGAAUUGAAGUGUGCGCUAUUUGCUGCAGAAAGAUAAAUCUGUCAUUUAGAUGGGACUUGCAAUUAGGUGUGCAGGAGGCCAGCAGAAGGCCAGAGCUUUUAAGAGUAUACCACCAUUAACCUCUUUUCUGCUAACCCAGCCUUGGGAUUUGUAGCCUUUGUAGUACAACAAAGGCUGAUGAAUCAAUGUUAGUUAGGGGUAAAUAGAACUACAAAUUGCAUAAUAGAGGGACAUGGAGGGUAAUAUGAUGAUAUUUAGCCCAGUCAUUAAUACUGACAUUUUCUAGACUUCUUUUAUAAGAAUUAGACUACACUGCUGAACAACAGAUGAAGAUACAUACAAAUACACACACCUUUGCUUGUGAUCUUUAAACAUUAUUAUGGCUGGACUUGUCACUUCACGAUCUCACUAUUCACCUCACACCUUUGGCUUUCCAGUGUCCCCUGGUGCUUUCACCACUUUUCUCACCCAAUCCCUCUCCCUCUUAUUGUUUCCAUCCUGCCCCACUCUCUCAAUCUCCCUCUGCUUCACACUCUCUCCACAUGACCUUGAUCUGCUGCUCACCACUUUCAGGCCACAGCAAAAACUUAAUCACCCAAUGUCAAAGCGUUAGGGGAGGAGGGAGAAGAAUUCUUCCCUCUUCUUCUUCUUCUUCUUCUUCUUCUUCUCCUCCUCUGCUUCUACUUUAAUGCCCUUUUACUAUAGCGAAAGAAGGGGAAAAUUUAUUGCUGUAGGGACAGGUGGGGAGAUGAACAAUGGGCCAAAUGAAGAGCAGGGUUAUCUGGUGGGGAAAUCAAUGUGACCCGUGAUACACUGCCAUCACAAUUCCCUCCCCUCCUGUCCUAUUUGUCUUAUCCGAGAAGGCGCACAGACCCCAGACAGAUUAGCCCAAGUGAAUCAUGACUCCUCCAUCUCCAUUACCUGCUUUCUUUCAUUUUUUGUGCUUUAAUUCUCUACUUUAGCCCCUCUUCUCUGUCUAUCCAACGUCUGGCUCUAUGGGGGGAGAGGGUGGGGGGCUGGAGGAAAUACUGUAUUGUAUAAGGAGAGUGUGAGUUAUAGUAAAGAUUAACUGUCCUACUGAGGUUUGGACACAUGGGUACACAGUUCCUCUGAAAAUACACACUGCUUUGUUCACUGGUUUAUCUUUCCUACUACUGAGUGAUGUUUUCACACAUUACAGCAGCCGUGGAAAAAAAAAUCACACUGAUCUCAGAUGAUUUAUCUUCUUUCAGUGUUCUCUUUUAUAUUUUUAAUAACAGAUACCAAGAGUGUGUGCACAGCUGUAAGUGAGUGUGAAUAGUAUAAGACUGUACAUAGUGGAGAUUAAAACACUGUGAAAUGCACACUCAAGAUUUUACAAUAAGUGUUACAGAAUAAAACAAAAAUGACCAUAACCAAGAAAUAUGGAAUAAAAAAAGACCAUAAGCUAAAUAAACAGGUUUGUAUAUAAACAAACAUUUUUUUCAUAGUGAUGUAAUUUAAUUUAUGUGUUAAAUUAGAAAUUAGAUAAAUUCUUUAUUGAUCCCAAGGGAUCUUGUAGAUUAAAACUGUAGACUUAAAUCCUUGUCUAUGGUAAUUACUCAUAUUCUCAGAUGCAUAAGAUAGACAUUAUGCUGAAAAUCAGUGAAGUACUUAACCUUUUAACUCCUUAAAACACUGCUGUGUUUGUGUGU